rnacentral:ncRNA from 1 species
GUGAGCGGAAUGCGGUGAAAGCCGCACGUUCCGUUCUUAGGGGAGGAAUGCCUAUUCCUUACCCGAC